CUCUCACAGGAAUCUUGUUUGUACCAGCAGAUGCCCUUGCGGCUCUUAUCUGAUCUAUGUCCACUUUAUUCCUGUCAUUAUAACCACUCUCUAAGAGAGCUGUGAAUAGAAAUAAGAUACAAUGCGAAGAUGGCCAUCGGAAAACCAGGAAGAGGGCCUUUACCAAGAACCCGACCAUGCUGGCACCUUCAUCUCAGACUUCCAGCUACCAGAACUCUGAAGAAAUUGAAGCUCAGAGAAGUUAAGAUACUUGCUUUAGAACACAGAUAGUUAGGGGCAAAGCUGGGAUUCAAACUCAAAGCACUUGGCUCACGAAUCUAUGUAGUUAGAAGUACUCUAUUCUGCCUUCGUAACACUCUCUUGCUUUAAUAAAGUGAAUGAUAAUAAUA
ensembl:lncRNA novel transcript